rnacentral:rRNA from 1 species
AAGCAGGUUAAUAUUCCUGCACCAUUGUUAAAUGCGAUGGGGGGACGGAUCGCGGAAGGUUGUCCGGGUGUUGGAAGUCCCGGUCCUUGCAUUGGAGAAGGCGCUUAGGCAAAUCCGGGCGCGGAAUUCAAGGGUGCGAGGCCAGUCGCUUAGGCGACGAAGCAAUCGGAAGUGGUUCCAAGAAAAGCCUCUAAGCUUCAGUUUAACAGGACCGUACCGCAAACCGACACAGGUGGGCGAGAUGAGUAUUCUAAGGCGCUUGAGAGAACUCGGGAGAAGGAACUCGGCAAAUUUGAACCGUAACUUCGGGAUAAGGUUCGCCUACGCAAGUAGGCCGCAGUGAAGAGGGGGUUGCGACUGUUUAUCAAAAACACAGCACUCUGCAAACACGAAAGUGGACGUAUAGGGU